rnacentral:lncRNA from 1 species
GUCUUGCAAAGUUGCGGAUAACUCCUCUAUUUUUGGAGAGGUCUCAGUUCUAUGAAUUUCGGUAUGACAUCCCUUCCUUUCUGUAAGUAGCAGAUUGAUUGGCUUCUCUUGCUUAGAUGAUUGAGUGAUACUGUCUAGCUUCUCUUCUCUAGAUGAUACUUCAUUUGACAAUGCAUUUUGAUUGGCAUUUUUGUUCUUGCUGCUUUGCGUGAUCACUAUAGAGGUAGAAGAGUUCCGAUUCUUGGCAAGAGCAACUUGCUUUAUACCAUUAGAAAAAUCUUUUGAAGGUGUUCCAUUUUUGGACUUUGUAGAAUUUUUUGUACCGAGUGUGGCUUGGUUCAGAGAAGACUGCUUCUUCUUUAAACUUGCUGAACGAUUCCUUGGUUUUGGUAAAGUUAUGGUUUCCACUUGAUUUGCUUUGUGUUUUCUUGCCUGCACAGUUUUGUUUGAGAGCAAUUUCUCGUUCUUACCUGCCUGAUGCUUCUCAUCUUGUCCUUCAGCUUUUUUAAGCUUCUGCAAUUGAUGCACUUCAUCCUUAUCUAACGCCUUUUUUUCAUUGCUCAAAGGGAAUAUAUGUGUCUCUUUCUUUGCUGUCUGAAUUUUAUCUUCUUUGAACUCAGUAGGUUUUUGUAACACAAUAUGGAUUGGAGGCACCCACGAUGCUUGUGGCUUUUUUGGCUGUGAGUCACUCUUCAGGAUAGGCUCCUUGAUUUCAACUGUUUUUGUGAUUUUCCCCUGUACACUUGUCUGAUUUUCUUCUUUCUGCUCCUGCUGGAACUUAUCUUGAAAUCCUGGAACUAGAUUUACUUGGAUGUUUUUAAUAUGUUGCUUAUCAAUCUUGUUGUUUGUAAUUGGAAAGCCUGAGGCCACUGAACCUGCAUCUUUGUUAACUGCUAUACUCCGCUCCUCCUGUUGUUGAACUCUACCAGAAGAAACCAUGUCAUUGCUGCUGCUUGGAGAUGCACUGACAUAUUCAGCUUUAAGCGCGAAUUUUGCAUCCUGAACUGGUAGCAUGUUACUUCUUUGUAUCAUGUUUUUGUCAACACUAAGAGAUGAGCUAUUCUCAGCGUCCGGAGAGCCAAUAGGACCUGCAGUUUUCUUCAAAACUGGCUCUUGCUUCUUUUUGGAAUCCGACCCUUUCCUCGAUGCCUUGUUAUCUUCUUUUGCUGGGAAUUCAUCCAGUCCCAUUAGUUUCGCAAUGACAUUUGAAAUUCUCCCUUUCUCUGAUCCAGCUUUCGUUCCACUUGACUGGUUUUUCUGGUCCAGAUUUUUUAAGUCCGGGGCACAACUAGCUGACCUUUUAUGGGCUACCAAUUUCUUAGGGCCGAGAGGUUGCUUUUCAUGCAGUUUAGGAGUUUCAUUGGGGUAUGUUAGGGCCAUAAGCCGCUGUUUGAUGUCAUUUUUUGUUGUCUCUUUGGUGAUAUAUGAGUUUUUAGAGGGCUUAUCGAAUGAAAAUCUUGGCCGCUCUACUUGCUUCUGAUCACCUAUCUUGACAAUUCUGUUGUCAUCUUCCUCAUCCUCGUCGAGUAAUGUAAUCCGGCUUUUGCUUUGUGGCUUGAUCAUAUGAUCCGAAGCUUCCUGUAGGUUCACAAGCAUCCUCAAUGACUCUUCCAAAUCCAUCGCUCCUUUCAGCAGUUCCGUCCCAACUUCAAUUGAAUUCUUAUCAAAAUUAAGGCCAUUGGAACAAGCUCUUAGAAUCUGGUUUAGUUUUUGUAUCCCUUUAGAUACUUCAUUGAUAUGAACAUGUGAGACGGAAGGGAACUGACUGUUCGGAUAUUGAUACUUAUCGACGCUGGUUCUCCUUUCCAUCUUACUUAUGUCCAUUGAUCUCUCUCCAAAUUGAUGGAGAAAUGUUAGCACAGGAUUUCUACUUGAAGAAUCCAUCUUAGUAAACUUUCCUCCAUUUUCAGUAGCAAAGGCGAGCGCCAUUGAAAGAUCUCCCACUUUCUCAGAGUUAUGUACUCUUCCAGUAGCAUAGGGAACAAUCUGUCCUGAAGAUUCUUCAAUCCGAAAUGAUCGGUUGCUGGUGCUAGACCUACUACUUAAGUUCCCUACUUUUGCAUUAACCUGCAAAUUGUAACAUGUAAGCUGAAUCGAACUUAUUGUUACAAGAAAUUUUCAAGAUGUCCUGAUAUUGUCAAGUGAACUUACGGAUUCUAGAGUUUUUGUUUGUCGAGAUCCUUUAUAAAUUUGUCCUGGAUUAGCAUGAGCAUCUGUCAGUUCAGACAUAUCGCUAGUUUAGUUUUACACUAUCAUUUGUAACAUAUGCUUUUGCAAAUAUUAAAACUGAGGAAUGAUAUGUCUAAAUGUAGAAGUUCUAAAUAAAUUUCAUUUUGUUGCUUAAUAGUAGGAAAGAAUUUUUCUGUCUCUAACAUCUUACUAUGUGAAACCUGCAGAAAAAUUUGUUCCACCUAUGUGGAAACAGUGGAAUUCCUGAUUGAUUAUGAACAUUAUUUUGGUGAAUGUACAUAUACUCCAAGUGGAGGGGAGCCUUGGCAUAAUUGAUAAAGUUGUUGCUAUUUGACCAGAAGGUCACGGGUUCAAACCGUGGAAACAGCCUCUUGCAGAAACACAGGGUAAGGCUGCGUACAAUAGACCCAGUGACGGAUCUAGGAAUUUAAGUUUGUGGGUGCUGAAUUUUUUUUGGACAUAAAAUUAAUG